rnacentral:rRNA from 1 species
UCGAUGAGGUUUUUCCUGAGUUCGUAUGUGACCUGCGGAG